rnacentral:rRNA from 1 species
AGCAGUCGCCACGGUAAUACGUAGGUGGCAAGCGUUGUCCGGAAUUAUUGGGCGUAAAGGGCUCGCAGGCGGUUUCUUAAGUCUGAUGUGAAAGCCCCCGGCUCAACCGGGGAGGGUCAUUGGAAACUGGGAAACUUGAGUGUAGAAGAGGAGAGUGGAAUUCCACGUGUAGCGGUGAAAUGCGUAGAGAUGUGGAGGAACACCAGUGGCGAAGGCGACUCUCUGGUCUGUAACUGACGCUGAGGAGCGAAAGCGUGGGGAGCGAACAGGAUUAGAGACCCCCGUAGUCCCUGUCUCUUAUAC